UUUGUAUUCUGUGUAUCGUGGAAAUCUGAGAAUAAAAUCAAACAGAGUUUUCUAAAGUUUCUUCAUUAACGUGGGCAUUGAAGUUGUAGGGUGAACGGGCGACUGGCAGUUCUGAGACGGUCUACGAAAUAGCAAUAUACGAUGUUUACAAUUCAAACAAAUACAGCUGGAGAAGACCCUUAUGCUUGAGCUCUUACAACCUAAUCACCAGGGUUGCUGUACGCUGAUUGAACUACCAAGCCAACUACUAUAGAAUAUUU